rnacentral:lncRNA from 1 species
AGAAGUGAGGAAACAGGCUCCAAAAGCUUGUUACUUGCUUGUAGUCAAACAGAAGGCAGAGCUGCGAAUCAAAUCCAGGUUUGUCUCGACAUGCCACUAGCUCAUACUUCCCUUGGAUCAGCCACUAAAUGGCUUUCACUCCAGUGAGCAGCGACCAGCACCAGAAUUAUGGAACAUUUAUCAACAGCCUAAAAUAAAGACAACACGAGGAGAAUUUGGUUGCUUAUAUAGAUUCAAGGUACAAUCCUGCUGGAUUCUGGGAUUACAGGACUGUAGACAAAAGAGAAAUCAUCAUGGACUGUUCACUGGACAAAAUUUCAUGGAGAGGAGAAGACCUUUGGCGGUUCAUGGAUGUUCUAUAAUAAGUUAGAAGAAAUAUCACAGUGUGCAUGCACAGAAGUACGACCAUGUGAAGAGGUAGCAAGAGAGCAGCAAUCUACAAGCCAAGGAAAGAGGCCACAGAGGAAACCAACCCUGCCAGCAUCUUGAUCUUGGACUUCCAGCUUCCAGAACUAACCAGGGACCCCACUCCCAUGCCGACAGUAUGGGCUGCUGUCUUCAGGACCAUUGCAAGUGUCCUUCACGGUUCGGUUCACAUUUCACAAGCCCCAUGAAGUCUAUCUGGAUUUUCGAUGGAUGUCUUGCCUUUUCCUCUACACACUACAGGAAGAGUGGCCACCCCUGCCAAGGGCCUAGUAUAGUACCCUAUACAUGUAGCUGAUCAGUUGAUUGUUACUGAUCAUAUGUAUCCUGCAUCAUGUUAUAAAAAAUUAACACAGUGCUUGGCACAUACUUGUACUGAAUGUCAGAGCUGCAGCAUGAUCUGGAGGCUUUCCUCGCUUUCUUCUGCUUCCCCUCCCUUGAUCCUUCACAGGCAUUUUCCUCAAUACAUCUCUUGCCUGGCUAA